rnacentral:rRNA from 1 species
UACGGAGGGAGCUAGCGUUGUUCGGAAUUACUGGGCGUAAAGCGCACGUAGGCGGCUUUUUAAGUCAGGGGUGAAAUCCCGGGGCUCAACCUGGGAACUGCAUUGGAAACUGGCUUACUAGAGUGCGGUAGAGGGGUGUGGAAUUCCCGGUGUAGCAGUGAAAUGCGUAGAUAUCGGGAGGAACAUCUGUGGCGAAGGCGACACCCUGGACCAGCACUGACACUGAGGCACGAAAGCGUGGGGAGCAAACAGG